AACACAAAUAUCACCAAAAAUUUGCCCAAUCAAAAAUCACUAAUGCCUGUCCUGUCUAUCAGCCAUCAUUUCUCUCUUUAUGACGGUUUCAGUUCUCAGGAAAGCUUUAUCACCAAAAAACUUAUUCAUCUACUUUGAGGCUUUCCUUCCUUAUUUCUUCUCCGACCAUUCUCAAUUCAGUUCUAGCACCUUAUCGGUUUCCUUUUGGUUUUUGGCAUAUUUAGGGACGCUUUUAACCAGACUACUUCAUGACAUGCAAGCGCUUCAGCAGCGAAGGCAGAGGCCACCUCUUGAUGAAUUUCUAAACAAGAUAAGAGGACGGUCCCUUCAUUGUUUCUAGCCACAAUCCCCGAAGCCGAUUGGAAAUGACGCCCAUCGUAUGCUCCGUCAAACUUGAUUUUUACGGACUUACCAGGUGGGUAAGUCCAUUUUCUAAACCCCUUUAAAAUUAUGGAAAUUCUUCUUUCAACACCAUUUAAUUCGAUACUAUAAUUAUUAACGAAGCUCGCUAUUUCCUGACCAGUGCUACUUUUCUUAUCUUGCAAUCUAGCAUUCUUUUCUCCCCAAAUGGUCCAUAGCACACAGCAGAAAAGUCGGUAUUGAAAAAGGGGAUAUUGAACAAAAACCUAGGUAAACCACUGUAAAAAAAUCCAUAAUAGAAUCCAUUACAAUAUUCGGGAUUGGUAAUGUUUUCCAGACUUCCUCUGAAAUAAGGCAUUCGUGGAAAAGGUGAUCAAUUGUUUCUGCUAUUUCUCCAUAUCGGGGGCAAGUUGUAAUGUUAACUAGCUUCCUGUGCUGCAUGUUAACCCGUGUAGGCAAAUAAUUCUAUGAUAUUUUCUAGAUUGUAAUCUUUAUUUUAGUAGGGAGAUUUUGGAGCCAAAGUUUUUUGUAAAAAUUCCUGUAGUCGGUUUGUAAAGCAUAAGCUCUAGGGUUUUCACCAGAAUUUUGUAAUAGUUUAUAGGCGCUACGAACUGAGUAAUCACCCGAAGAUUCACUGCUCCAUACAAGAAAGUCAUCAUGGGGUUCUUUCGCCAAUGGGAUAGGGAGGAUUUUUCAGCAUCUUACUCUGAAAAGGUGUUGACAAUCAACUCUCGUUUCUAUAUUCUUUCAUUACUAUCAAUUAACUCAGCAACUUUAAAAUCUCAUAUAUUAUGAACAAACAAAGGUCAUCUGAGAUUUUCUGCGUCUAGAAUCCAAGCAUCAUUAUUAACUGAAACAUUCAUACUCGUACCCACCUUUCAACAAAGCCCUUUUGCCAAAAUACACUUUGUCGCUCAGAUACUUCUCCAUAUAUAAGAACUUGUAUUUCCUAAUCGUGAAUUUAAAAAAUCAUCAUUUGGAAAAUAAUUUUCUUUGAGCACUCGCACAACUAGUGAGUUUGGGUUAUUUAAAAUCCUCCACCCUUGCUUCGCUAGUAAUGAAAUAUUAAACUGAGCCAUACUUCUGAAACCCAUUCCCCUCUCUUCUUUUGAACGACACAUAUGCUUCCAUUGACACCAAUGUAUUCCUUUUUUCCCAUGACCUUUUUGCCACCAAAACUUAGCGAAAAUGUUUUCUAAUUCCCCACAUAAAGAUUUCAAUAGAAGAAAGCAUGACAUAGUAUAAGUUGGUAUUUCUUGGAGUACUGAUUUUAUGAAGACCUCAUUACCUCAUUGUGAUAGUAGCCUUGUACUCCAUCCUUGAAUUCGCAAGUAAACCCUAUCUUUGAGAUUUUGAAAGGACUAUUUCUUUCGUCUUCCGACCACAUUAGGGAGUCCUAAGUAUUUUUCAAGAUUUCUUGAGCUUCUCACACCUAAUAAUGUCAAGAUUUCUUCUUUUUUCCCUUCUAUUGUGUUCGAACUAUAGAAGAUCAUUGAUUUAUUAAAAUUCACACAUUUGCCUGAGCAUCAUUCGUAUUCCUUCAUAAUUUCUUUCAAUAUCAACGCUCCUUUAUCUGUUGCUUCACCGAACAGAAUACAAUCAUCUGCGAAAAGAAAGUGUGAUAUCUCUGGUCCCCUUCUGUUAGCUUUUGCUCCUUUUAACAAGCCAUCUCUCAUUGCCAAUCUCAUCAAAGAUGAAAGUCCCUCACUACAUAUCAGAAAAAGGAAAGGACUAAGUGAAUUGCCUUGUCGGAGCCCUCUAGUAGAUUUAAAAAUGUUUUCCCUUCUCCCAUUAAUGUUUAUUGCAUAAGAAACUGUGGAGAUACGUGUCAUUAUUAGUGCCACCCAUUCCCCUGCAAAGCCCAUCUGUAGCAUUACUUCUUUUAGAAAACCCCAUUCAACUCUAUAGUAAGUUUUGCUCAUAUCUAACUUCACUGUCAUAUAUCCUUUUCUCCGGUACGCUUCUGAUGAAAAGUGUGUAGAAUUUCAUAGGCUAAAAGCACAUUGUCAGAAAUUAAUCUUCUGGGGACAAAAACACUUUGGGUAGUGUCAAUACAUCUUCUAAUGACUUCUUGAAGGUGAUUUGCUAUUAUUUUUGCCACAAUUUUGCAAAUAAUUGUGCACAAACUAAUAGGUCUAAAAUUAACAAGACUUGUGGGAUUUAGGAUUUUUGGGAUAAACACAAUAUCCGUCAAAUUAAGAGAGUCAAAAUCCUUGUCAUCGUUCAAAAUUCCCAAACAGAAAGUUUCGACAUCUUUACCUACAAUGUGCUAGAAUUUCUGAAAAAAUAAUGUCGGCAAACUGUUAGAGCUUGGUGCUUUAGUAGGCCCUAUUCCAUUCAAAGCCGAAUGAACCUCUUCUACCUUACAAGCUGAUAAUAGAGCUGUAUUGAUAUCGAAGGAAAUAUUGAUGUCAAUGCUCGUUAGUAGGUGGGAUAAAUCCCCAAUUCCAUUAGACGAAAAUAAUUUCUAAAAAAUUAAAGUAGCAGCCUCAUUGAUCUUUGUUUCGUCAGAAAUUUCUCCUCAUUCGUUUGAUUCCAACCUAGUUACUGUGUUUAUCCGUCUACAAACUAGGGCAUACUUAUGAAAAAAGGUAGAAUUCUUAUCCCCUAAUUGAAGCCAAUUGCCCCGUGCCUUUUGUUCCCAAUACAUUUCAUCUUUAUCAAUCUCCAUAUUAAGUUGAAUUUUGGUAUCAAUAAGCUUUGCCGUCGCAUUUUCAUCCCUCUCUUUCACCAUUAGAUUUUCAAGUUCCUUUGUGAGCUUUCUUUUUAAUCCUUCUCGACAUUUUUUAAUUGUGCUUGCCCAUCUCUUCAAUUUGAGCUGCAACCUUUCAAUUUUUUUAAUUAGCGUGCCUAUUGAUGACUCCUAAGAUUUCUUGAUUUCUUAUUCGAUAGACUCCUCCAUGGUCCACCAUGCCUCAAAUUUAAACCUUGGGAUCCCUAUACAAAUAUUUCCAUUAUUUGUAUUAAGAAAGAGUGGACAAUGGUCCGAAAUCGAAUGAGUUAAGUGUUGAAUGUUGCCCUUUGGAAAAAGAUGCAACCAUUUUUCAUUCGCAACUCCCCUAUCAAGUCUUUCCUUAAUGUUUAUUUUCGAUAGAUUCCACCUUUCCUAUGUAAACCAAACCCUCGAAUACCCUAUAUCCAUCAAUUGGUAUUCUUCUAAAGGCUCAUAGAAGGCCUCCAUUCUUCUCUCCUCCCUCAGUAUGCCUCUACUUUUUUCAAAGGAAUACAUGAUUUCAUUAAAAUCACCACUUACCAACCAAGGAUGAUUUUGUUCAUGACCCAAUUUCCUUAACAGAUUCCACAAAACAUUCUUGUUAUUUACAUAAGAUGAACCAUAAAACCUUAUAAAUCUCCAUUCUUCAUUGACAUUUUCCUCCUUAAUCAUCACAUCAAUAUGGCUUUUUGAGAAACUUCUUAAACUAAUUGUAAUAUCCCCUUUCCAUGCCAAACAUAGCCCACCUCGAGAACCUUUUACUUCUACGUUAAUCCCAUUCAUAAAACCACAUCUCCUUCGAACCUUUUCCAUACGUUUCUCAUCAAUUAUUUUCUCCAUUAAGAAGACCAUUUGGAGGUUGUACAAAUUUAGCAAAUGCCGCAGCCUCCAUACUGCCCUUGGACUCCUCAAUCCACGGACAUUCUAACUUAUAGUUUUCAUUGCGCCCGGUCGGCUUACCUUUUGGCACCCACCGAUCCAUAAAAGUGGGGAUCACAAAUUUGUUUCGAGUUUCCUACCGACACAACUAGAGAAGCUUCAAUUUGUAUGUCUUUUCUUUCAUGUUUCAUUCUUUUUGGUCCGUCUUCGUAAGGAUUUCCUGUACAACAUUCUUCAGUUUCUAAUUCUGCAGAUUUCCUCUUCCUCAUUAUGAUGUCUUCAUUACUUUGAUUCAUCAAGACCACUGGAAAUGUCUUUUCCAGCUUGUCUUCUUAACUAGAUUUGAUUUAUCUUCCAACAUACUAUUUCUUUCAUUCAACCUUUCAAUUUUCUUUAUUGCAGACCCUUCCUCCUGCUUCUUCUCCACUUUCUCUAAUCCUGUUGGUUGUAUUUUAUCUUGUAAACUCCAAACCAUAGCAUUCUCAUCUUCUGGUUGUUUAAUAAACUCAGGUAGCAUCUACGUGACCCCUAUAUAAGAACAUUGAGGAGUUAGCCCAAGGCAGUCUUUGAAACCAUGCCCCAUUCUUCCACAUCCAAAGUAGAAAAUCGGUAACUUCUCAUAUUUAAAGGAGACCCACGAUUUCUAUUAAUUAUCGAUUGAGACGAAAAUACCUCUAAGGAGGGGUUUCUGCAAAUCCAAUUUGAUUCUAAGGCGACACAAAUCUCCAUUGAUUUCAGAUUUAAUUACUCCUCCAAAAGUAACCCCAAUGGCAUGAAAUAGAUCUUUUUUAUCGAAUUCUGAUAAACACGAUCCGAUCUUAAUCCAAAACAGGGAAGAAUGAAGUCAAAUCUGACUUUUUUCAAUCGGUUUAACCAACUGAUCAAA